rnacentral:rRNA from 1 species
CGAGAAAGCCCGCAAGGGUGAGUAAAGCGGCGCACGGGUGAGUAACACGUGGGUAAUCUGCCCUAGAGUCCGGAAUAACUCGCCGAAAGGCGUGCUAAUGCCGGAUGAGACCACGGGAGCCUCGGCUCUCGCGGGAAAAGGUGGCCUCUGUAUACAAGCUAUCGCUCUAGGAUGAGCCCGCGGCCCAUCAGCUCGUUGGCGGGGUAAUGGCCCACCAAGGCUACGACGGGUAGCUGGUCUGAGAGGACGAUCAGCCACACUGGAACUGAGACACGGUCCAGACUCCUACGGGAGGCAGCAGUGGGGAAUCUUGCGCAACGGGCGAAAGCCUGACGCAGCAACGCCGCGUGUGUGAUGAAGGUCUUCGGAUCGUAAAGCACUGUCGCGAGGGACG